UACAGAGGUCUCAAGCGUUGUUCGGAUUCAUUGGGCGUAAAGGGUGCGUAGGCGGCGCGGUAAGUCGGGUGUGAAAUCUCGGAGCUUAACUCCGAAACUGCAUUCGAUACUGAAGAUCUUGAGUUCGGGAGAGGUGAGUGGAACUGCGAGUGUAGAGGUGAAAUUCGUAGAUAUUCGCAAGAACACCAGUGGCGAAGGCGACACACUGGCCCGUUACUGACGCUGAGGCUCGAAAGCGUGGGGAGCAAACAGG
rnacentral:rRNA from 1 species